rnacentral:lncRNA from 1 species
UUUAUUUAUUGCCCAGAACUAUGAUCAAUUGGUUGUGUUUUGUCGUUCUUGAGUGAAUCAGUUGACUAGAUACUGAACAUGUUAGCCAAUCAGGCCUAAUCCAUCAAGGCCUACCCAGGCAGGUUAGACCUAAUGUCUCGGUCCUCAAUUUCUUGUAGGUCAUGUUAGCCAAUAAUGGCUCUACAGGUUACGAGUUUUGGGUGUAAUUACGCAGUUUGGCCUGUUUGUUUGAC